rnacentral:rRNA from 1 species
UACGUAGGGACCAAGCGUUGUUCGGAUUUACUGGGCGUAAAGGGCGCGUAGGCGGCUUGACAAGUCACUUGUGAAAUCUCUGGGCUUAACCCAGAACGGCCAAGUGAAACUGUCGAGCUAGAGUGUAGAAGGGGCAAUCGGAAUUCUUGGUGUAGCGGUGAAAUGCGUAGAUAUCAAGAGGAACACCUGAGGUGAAGACGGGUUGCUGGUCUAACACUGACGCUGAGGCGCGAAAGCCAGGGGAGCGAACGGG